ensembl:lncRNA
AACCGAAAGCCUCCGACACACACGCACACAGGAAGUGUCUUUGUCACUCACUCACUCCAGCUAAUUUGCAUAAACCCACAGCUCAACAGCCAACUUAACAAGAGGAAUACAUGUUUAAACUUUAUCACGUUAUUGAAUUAUUUUCAUUUUCUUUCUAUACUAAUCACUUACUUUGAUAAAUCAGUGCAAGAGCACUCCUGAGUCACUCUUAUAGACACUUUUCUUUUGUUUUUCCAUCUUUUUAAAUCUUUCCAUCAAUUGUAUUAACCAUUCACACCAUUUUAACCCUCAUGAAAUUAGCAGGCUGAUUUAAUUACGUAUGUUUGUGUUCUUAGCCAGGUUUUAAGUCAUUAUCUGUUCAUUAAUCUUCAUGAGCUUGUCUCUGUAAGGUUAGUGCAUUUUCUGUUUGUAUGUGUGGUUUUAUAAAUGUUUCUUUUGCAGUGUUUCAAACUCCUUUUGACAGGGUGUAUUUUCUCUCUGUCUGUCUCUUUUCUAAACCCCGUAAUUAAUAUAAUUUUAUUACUUUAUUACUUUUUCUUAACACAUGCAUUCGCUUCAUCUUCUUAGAAUUUAACUCUGUCUAUUUCUCUGGGUGCUCCCCUGACAUCAUCAGUCACACACACCUUCCUCUCACACACACUUUUAAAUAGAGCUCUUCCAAACAUCAGGACAACUAACACUUCUCCACGGACAGGACCAUUCUUUAGGUCAGUUUUAUAGCAUCAGUCACCCAAUAAUCUCUUAACUGGGUUUCCCAAGUACAUAUACUUAUGUAUUUUCAAUCGGAAAAAAUACACUCAACCUGUCAUAACAUCUCUCAUGGAUUUCUUGAAUUAAAAGCACUUUCAAACUUUAAAACAUCCUACUUUUCCUCACACAAGAAAUAUAUUUCACACUCCUUUAUUCCAUACACACCUUUAAAAGUUCUAACCUCUUUAGUCAUUCAGUAAUCGUCUCACACACUGCCUUUUCUCUCUCAAACUGCCAUUUUCCACUCACUCAGACAAAUCAUGCAGAGUCACUCAAAUCAAAUACUGACAGCCUUCACACAGUUAAAAUCACGCAAAAUACGCUUUCAUACGAGUAUUUUGGACAUGCCUUCCAUGAUCAGAAAGAGCAAGUCAAAGAAAAAGAAAAAGAAAACUGAAACCUCUCAUCGUCUCACCGCUUCUCCCCACACACACAUAACUGAAAAUAAAACACACCAACCUUUAUGGCUCACGAAAUAUACAUCUAUCAAAAUUCAGUCAUUUACUAUACAUCCACACUAAUAUAUUCACACUGUAUUUACACUCUCAUAAUAAGCAAAACCAACCUCUUAUAUACAGGCAUUUAGCAAAAAGCUCAGUCCUCUCGACAACUGAAACCACCCUCUCUGCGCGUCACUGCUGCUCAUUUGCAUUUACACACACAAUCAGUGCACUUCCGGCUGUGCAUGACUGACACAGAGACUGAUCCUACUCAUAGAUCUCAUAUUUUAUAUUACAGACGUCUUAAAUUACAACUGCACAGAUUUUUUUUAGGCCUCUUAAAUCCUAUAAAUUUCGACAAAUUUAUCCAUAACGGUCCAACCGAUAAAAGUCCCUGACUUUUUUGCGACCAAUUUUAGCCAGUAUUCCGUCCCUGACGGUGGCCCGAUUGCUAAUGCCCUAACCAAAUUUAUCGUAGCCAAAAAGCGCAAAAUAGGAGACUCUAACUCCUAGCAAUUUCAGAG